GUCUACGGCCAUACCACCCUGAACGCGCCCGAUCUCGUCUGAUCUCGGAAGCUAAGCAGGCCUGGUUAGUACUUGGAUGGGAGACUUUAAGCCACCAAGGUUCAGUAUUGUAUUUU
rnacentral:rRNA from 1 species